CCUACGGGCGGCAGCAGUAGGGAAUCUUCCACAAUGGGCGAAAGCCUGAUGGAGCAACGCCGCGUGGGUGAAGAAGGUCUUCGGAUCGUAAAACCCUGUUGUUAGAGAAGAAAGUGCGUGAGAGUAACUGUUCACGUGUCGACGGUAUCUAACCAGAAAGCCACGGCUAACUACGUGCCAGCAGCCGCGGUAAUACGUAGGUGGCAAGCGUUAUCCGGAUUUAUUGGGCGUAAAGUGAACGCAGGCGGUCUUGUAAGUCGGAUGUGAAAGCCUUCGGGUUAACCGGAGUAGUGCAUUGGAAACUGGGAGACGUGAGUGCAGAAGAGGAGAGUGGAACUCCAGGUGUAGCGGUGAAAUGCGUAGAUAUAUGGAAGAACACCAGUGGCGAAGGCGGCUCUCUGGUCUGUAACUGACGCUGAGGUUCGAAAGCGUGGGUAGCAAACAGGAUUAGAUACCCGGGUAGUC
rnacentral:rRNA from 1 species